CGGAGCCUCUCGGCCCAACUCACGUAGUUCCUGCAGCGGAGGCGCGCGGGGCCGAAGCCGGAUCCCGUCACACGCCCCCGGCCCCGCGCAGGGGGAGCGGUCUGUGGGGGAGGCGGCCUGCAGCUGUCCGCAGGAACGUCGGGCUCUUCGACCGUCGUGCAAAGUCUGUCGGGGGAAUUCAGCGCUGAUUCGAAACAGUACGAGCAGCUGCGGGGCGAAGUCCGCCUCACGCGCCCUCAAAUCCUCACAGUCAAUUCAGUUGGAAGAUUUUUGUUUUUUCCUUUCUGCUCUACUUGUGGUUGUAUGCAUUAUUACUGUGGUUGCUGAUAUUGUUACAGAGGUAAGAAUUCUCACUUCUUUUGAACUUCAGUGUUCCUGUAAUUACUAUAUUAAUUGAUGUUUUAUGUUAUAUUAAGUGUUUUAAUAGUGUUAAUAUACUUUAUAGUUGCAAAUAUGGAUUUGAAACUUGGUUUGAGGGUGAGGAGUGCCUUUGUUACAGAAGAUAAAACAAGAAAUAGAACUUUUGUAACUAAGGAUUAGUCGUAUGGAGAAAAAACCUCUAUGGCUGUUGGUACUGGCUAUAAAAGAAGUUUAGCUCUUCUGGGUUGUCACGGGUAGGUGAAAAAACAACGUUAUACUGCCCUCGUUGGAGAGAAACUAGAAUAUAUUUAUUGACAUAAUAUAAUGUAGUGCUUUAACAAUGACUUAAGAUUCAAGAUGGCUGGAUACACUGGAUUAUUUACUGCGCGGAGGAUAGAGUUAAACAUACAGGAGGCCCUCCUGUUGAGCCAUGAGGUAAAGAGUGGAUCCUUGCUUUCUAACCUCCUUGAACCAUGGAGGUAAGGAGCCUAGGUGUGACUGAAUCCACUCUUAGUCCCAGGCUUCAUCCGUGGUUUAUAUCUAAGGGAUUAUACGUGCACAAUCAAUCUACGAUUGAAUCUUAGUGAAGCUAACAAAACCUAAAACAAUUAGUCACUUACUGAGGGUCUGUACUGGCAAGGGGUCUUGAUGUCAGAGUGUAAGGGAUCUACCUCUGCGCAGCUGUAACCUCAAGAGGUGCCCCUGCUUAAGGGGAGGUCCUGUUAUGCAGACAGCUGUGGUGCAGGAUAGCUCCAAGGGGCUCUUGAGCUAUUCACCAUUUAUGGAGUAAGAUGAUUGACUCAUAGUCAUAAAUUGCUUUUUAGGUGCAUGCUCAAUUGGUUUUUCUGCUGAACCAGCUGUCUGCUAUCAGGCUCACUGUCCUCCUGUGCAAGGCCAGGUUGAAGGAUGGGGUUGAGGGAAGGAAGGUGAGGGGGCAGAACUGGGGGCACAUUCUAUAUUGUUAUUUUUAAAUAGGAAAAGGUAAACACCAAGGAUAAUGAAAAGCUAAUAAUUUUUUAAUGAUAAGAACAAGCAAGAAAAAAAAUACUUAAGUUGAAAAUGAUGUUUUUCCACUGAAUAACACCAUUUAUUAUAGAAACUACAACAGCAACUGAAGUAUAGGUUCUCCCUUUCAUGGUUUCCACAACCAUGGCUUGUACAAUUCCACCUUCUGGUAACACUAGCAUAGGAAUUGUAAUAAAAUGUUAAUCCCACAGACUGCAGACUUCACCUACUGCUUCUGUGUAUCUAUAUGUAUGUCUGGAACCAAUCUUGGCUUGGUAUCUACCAUUUCAGUAUUUGAUACUUCAUAUUCCCACAUUGUGCAACUUUAAUGUGGGUCUAUAUGUAUAUCUCCUACGUAAUAUAAAUAUAGUGAAUCUGGAGAUGAAGGUUGUUUCUGUACACAGAAUUCAAUGCAUACAACUCAAAAUAGAAUCAAGUAUAGCAAUACUGAAGUAAUGUGGACUCUGUAAGAUUUUGGCACUGCUACAGGAGAAGUCUCAGUUCAAUUUAAUUUUAUUAAAAUAAAUAUCAGCAGAAGAUCAAUACAUUUUUUCCAGUUCCUUGGAAAAAAAAAAACAAUGGCAUUUGGGGGAACUGAAUUUUUAAUUAACUACGUAAACAUAUCAGUUACCAUACAAACGCAGCUCGCUCUCGUAACAUUCUGACACCAAAACGCUGCCAUUCUCGCUGAUAUAUCCAUAGCUCCUGAGUUGUAUCAAGACAGGCCAAGACAGCACCUCCUUUCCAUGCAAUUAAGCGGGGAUCCAUAUCCUAAAUCCAAAAACAGGAUUAUACACAGUCACUAGUCUGGUUUUGUACGGUUCUCAAACCUUGCAUCCUACUGAUUCCAACAGUAUUCAUCACUUGGAAUCUUCGGGGUGGGAGGAGGAGAAAAAAUUUUGAAAACUAUGUAAGAGAAACUUUUGCAUGAUAAUGAAGUAAAAAUAAGAAAAGACUAUCUAAGGUUUUUGAGGAAGUAUUUUUUUUUAAUUUUAUUUAAAUAUGACUUUUAGGCAUGCCCGUGAAAAUCGUGCCCUCAGCAGGCAAGCUCAAGGCUCUGAAAAAUAUGCAUGCUUGGAUUUUUAAAGAUUUUGCUUGAUUUAAAACCAGAUUAAAAUUGCUUACUUAAGCCAUACAUUGCUAAUCAAAAAAACAAACAAAAAAACCAAACUGCCUUUCAGCAAGGAAUUGUGUUAACUUCAGGGACUCACAAUGGUUCUUUGGAAAUACGGCCUUUACAUUCAUGAUCAAUAUCAGUAAUGGUCUUGCUUUACCUCCAAUUACCUAAAUUUCCUCAGAAGUGCAACUAAUCUGUAGUUUUAAGAGAAUAUAUUCUAUAUAAUCUUUUGAAGAACUCAAUUAUAGUUGAUUGAGCAUUCAGCUAUCAGCUAAUGGUAUACCUUAGGUCUUGUGAUGACUUCAACGUUUUCAACUACUCUUCUGAAAGAAGGGGGCAUUUUGUUGAGAAUUCGGUGUUGAAGGAACUCUUGAGCUUUAUGAAACAUAAGGCCUCCUCCCACUACUAAGAUGGAGCUGUACAUCUUCUUUUUUGUAUCAUCAGAUGCUGGAAUGAAUGGAUGCAUAUAGAAAUAUAUAUUCUUAGAAGUUAACAGUGCCUCUAUUUUAUUAUUAAAAAAAAAAACUUAGAGCAAGUCAAAUCAAACAGAAACUGAGAACUGCUCACUUUUAAAACUUUUUUGUUUCUUGGAGCUUCAAAAACAAGCUCAAGAAAUCUAAAAAUAUGUUGUAAUGAGUGCAGCUACCUGUAGAGCUGGUAAAAUAAAGGGAUAUGCAUAUUAUUUUCCUAGAAUAUAGUAGUUAACAUAAAUGCACAUUGACAAGCAUACUUCCCAGAAUUGUAACAAUGUAAUCCUUACCACAGCAGUCAAUACUGUGAAGAAUGGCUUUGUCAAGGCCUAAGGCUUUGCCUUCAAAUUGAGAAACAGCUGUUUUUCUGGACAUGUGUGCAGUUAAAGGUUCCUCUGAAUCAUUUCCAGAUAUGAUACAGUCACUUUGGGAGGAUCCCAGUUCAACUUCUUGUGGGUACAUCCUCUCUGAAAUGUCUGUGACUUGGCUUCUCACGUCUCCCUCAAAGGUACCAGGCUUUGACAUGGAUUUUCUAUCAGCUGUAGCUUUUGAAGACUUAAAAAUAAGGAAACAAACUGACUGUUAAACUAUGAAAAAUAGAAAAAGAUCUUCAGUAGAUUACAGAACAAUACAGUGACUAAACAUUACCUCUUUACUUUUUUGCAUAGAAAGGUUAAAUAUUACAUUACUACUUGGUAUCAAUUUUAUUUUGAUUCCCACUUUCAAAGCGAGGGUUUUACUUUCAAAUCCAUCGAUGUAUCAAUGCUAUUAAUAUGAAGACCCUUUAGACUGAAAAUACACAGUUUAGAUUAAGAUCUUUUCUACAUACCUAUAAUUCCUUAGACUUAUUCUUUUAUGCUGUUGACCCAGAUAACAAACUUCAGUCUCUGAGAUGAGGUAAUGAGUCCUUAUUUUAUUCCUGAAUUAAAUAAUACUUAGUGGAAAAAAAAAUAAGCAUUCACACACCUGCUCCUGCUUACUUUGUGUGGCUAGGAGGUAAUGUUCAUCAUGAGGGUCUUCAGGGUCCCCUUGUGACCUGUGUUGCAAAGUUGUCAUUUUUUGUCCAACAAUUCCAAAAGUUGCUGGAUAAAACAGAGCCAUUGGAGCCUGAAAAAAUGAGAGAUUUGGCAUUUUAUUAUGUAUAUUUUUACUAAUUGGAAUUUACUACAGAGAAGAAAAAGCUUGUGCUUAAUUUUCUUGUGAUUCAAAAUGUCUUUUUUCCAACAGAUUUGUAAAAAUUUUGCAUAUUUGUUUUAAAACUUUCACACCUGUACAUGACACCUUGCUAGAAUCUGUAAAGAAGUCUAUGUACAAGUAAUUCAAAUGUUAUUUGUAACAAAAUGAAAAGCUUGCACAAUUCCUUGCUGUUAAAGGAUAAGCACUGUAACAUUCAAUUGAAGUGACAGUCAUUUUGGUUAAGGUUAUUAGAAGUGUUGUGCAUCUCCUACUGCUUCAUUAGGUACAUCCAUACACAAUGCAAUUCAUUUUAAUGCUAUCACCAAGCAUGAAUAUACUACUUGUUCAUUUUAUGAGAAUAACCUGUAAUUUUUCAUCCCCUAAUCGAAACUGGUAUAAUAGAGCUGGAGAAUCUGGAUGCCGAAUUUGGAACUCGUGGUCUUGCAAUCCAGAAAUAUCCUGCAGUAAAAAAAAAAAGUAUUAAAAAUAAAUAUUUUUACAUACCUAUAUCAAGAUGUGUAACUUAAAUUCUGCGUAACUGAAACUGUGGACAAUAACAAAAAGUAACAAAACUCUUCAGCUUCUGAGUUUCACUUAGCUAUUCUUCAACUUCUUUAAAAAUCUUUUUUUUUUUUUAAGAUCUGCCAAAACACCUUUCUACCUGUUUAAGUCUCUAUAAUGAGAUUUUGUACAGACAUACAAGACCUGGUGGCAGAGCUUGCAAAACAAGCUGAAAAACAGCAGUAUGCAACUGAUAUCGGCUUCUUCAGUAAUAUGAACAAAUAUACAUCCUUUCUAAGAGCUGAGAUCCCUUUCAGCUAGAAGAACAACAAAGUAAAUUUCAAAUACUUCAACUCUAAAGCUUCUCCAGCUCCUGUGAGCAUUCUACCGAAUGAAGUAUUUGGUUUUCUGUGCCCAUUAAGCCCAUUUCCUACAGCUCUCCCAUAUCUAAUAAUUAAAAAUACAUUAGUUAGGACUAUUAGUUAAUUAUUCUAUAUUAAAAAUACACACCUUCUGCAAACACAACAUUUCAAGGACUAAAUCAUGCAUCUUCUGAACUGUUCCCUAUGUUCUGGUUAUUUUAUACACUUCUUAAUUUGCAAGCAAUUGUAGACUCCCAUAGAGCUUCCCCAAAGCAGCAUUCUAUAGAGGUAAAGAGGAAAAUACAUCACUUUGCCUUCUCACCUGAUCUAGGUGACAAAAUGUCUCCUUUAGGUGCUGAAGCAGAAGGCAAUCCAACUUAUUAGUUAACUGACAGUCUCUGUAUGGAAACCCUGCUCGCUGCAUAAGCCAGUAAAAACACCUUGACACAUCAGAUCCUCCAUAUGCAAGGCAGAGCCUAGAGCAUAAAAAAAAAUUAUUCUAAAGUACUGGCCUACUACUGUGGUAUAUACAAGAAUACAAACAAUGUUUUAGAUGUACUGUGAUCAUGACUUCCAAACAGCAAACAGUUUGUACAGCACAGUAUCAGUUCUGCUAUUUUCUUCUUUUAGACGUGUCAUUUCUUCAAGGCUCGUGUUGUAACAUUGUGAUCCUGUUGAACAGCUCACAAUAAAAACAAAAUCCCCAACUCUGCAGAUGUAAAAGUAUUUUUUUUUAAAGUCAAGUCUUUGGUAAGUAAUUAAGUACAUGCUUGUAAUAAUUCUGCAUGUGAAGAGAUACCUGGUGUUGCGAUGGGAAACUCCAUCUUCUACACAGCAAACACUUGUCUUCUGAUCUCCCACAUCUACUAUACAUGCACUGCCUAAACCACUUCCAAAUGUAGCACAGACAGA
rnacentral:lncRNA from 1 species